rnacentral:rRNA from 1 species
UGCUGCUUCGCUGACGAGUGGCGGACGGGUGAGUAAUGUCUGGGAAGCUGCCUGAUGGAGGGGGAUAACUACUGGAAACGGUAGCUAAUACCGCAUAAUGUCGCAAGACCAAAGAGGGGGACCUUCGGGCCUCUUGCCAUCGGAUGUGCCCAGAUGGGAUUAGCUUGUUGGUGGGGUAACGGCUCACCAAGGCGACGAUCCCUAGCUGGUCUGAGAGGAUGACCAGCCACACUGGAACUGAGACACGGUCCAGACUCCUACGGGAGGCAGCAGUGGGGAAUAUUGCACAAUGGGCGCAAGCCUGAUGCAGCCAUGCCGCGUGUAUGAAGAAGGCCUUCGGGUUGUAAAGUACUUUCAGCGGGGAGGAAGGGAGUAAAGUUAAUACCUUUGCUCAUUGACGUUACCCGCAGAAGAAGCACCGGCUAACUCCGUGCCAGCAGCCGCGGUAAUACGGAGGGUGCAAGCGUUAAUCGGAAUUACUGGGCGUAAAGCGCACGCAGGCGGUUUGUUAAGUCAGAUGUGAAAUCCCCGGGCUCAACCUGGGAACUGCAUCUGAUACUGGCAAGCUUGAGUCUCGUAGAGGGGGGUAGAAUUCCAGGUGUAGCGGUGAAAUGCGUAGAGAUCUGGAGGAAUACCGGUGGCGAAGGCGGCCCCCUGGACGAAGACUGACGCUCAGGUGCGAAAGCGUGGG